AAAACUAGAGGAAUAAGGGCUGGGUAAGACGGGUGCCAGCCGCCGCGGUAAUACCUGCAGCCCAAGUGGUGGUCGAGUUUAUUGAGUCUAAAACGUUCGUAGCCGGUUCGGUAAAUCUUUGGGUAAAUCGGGGGGCUUAACCUUCCGACUUCCGAGGAGACUGCCGAACUUGGGACCGGGAGAGGCUAGAGGUACUUCUGGGGUAGGGGUAAAAUCCUGUAAUCCUAGAAGGACCACCGGUGGCGAAGGCGUCUAGCUAGAACGGAUCCGACGGUGAGGGACGAAGCCCUGGGUCGCAAACGGGAUUAGAUACCCCGGUAGUCCAGGGUGUAAACGCUGCAGACUUGGUGUUGGAGGCCCUUUGGGGGCAUUCAGUGCCGGAGAGAAGUUGUUAAGUCUGCUACUUGGGGAGUACGUCCGCAAGGAUGAAACUUAAAGGAAUUGGCGGGGGAGCACCGCAACGGGAGGAGCGUGCGGUUUAAUUGGAUUCAACACCGUAAAACUCACCAGGGAAGACUGUUACAUGAAGGCCGAGAUGAAGACUCUGCUAGAUUUUCAGAGAGGUGGUGCAUGGCCAUCGUCAGUUCGUACCGUAAGGCGUUCUCUUAAGUGAGAUAACGAACGAGACCCUCGCCGAUAGUUGCUACUUAUCCCUCCGGGGGUAAGGCACAUUAUCGGGACCGCUGGCGCUAAGUCAGAUGAAGGAGAGGUCAACGGUAGGUCAGUAUGCCCCGAAUUUCCUGGGCUACACGCGCGCUACAAAGGACGGGACAAUGGGUUCUGACACCGAGAGGUGUAAGUAAUCCCGAAACCCGUCCGUAGUUCGGAUUGAGGGUUGUAACUCACCCUCAUGAAGCUGGAUUCCGUAGUAAUCGCGAAUCAACAA
rnacentral:rRNA from 1 species